rnacentral:rRNA from 1 species
UACGGAAGGGGCGAGCGUUGUUCGGAAUCAUUGGGCGUAAAGGGCGCGUAGGUGGUUCUGUAUGUCUACCGUGAAAGCGUACGGCUCAACCGUAUUUUGUCGGUAGAAACUGCAGGACUUGAGGCUGGGAGGGGCUGGUGGAAUUCCCUGUGUAGCGGUGAAAUGCGUAGAGAUAGGGGAGAACACUCGUGGCGAAGGCGGCCAGCUAGACCAGUUCUGACACUGAGGCGCGACAGCGUGGGGGAGCAAACAGG